UACGUAGGGUGCGAGCGUUGUCCGGAAUUAUUGGGCGUAAAGGGCGCGUAGGCGGCCUUCUAAGUCGAACGUGAAAUCCCCGGGCUCAACCCGGGAACUGCGUCCGAUACUGGAAGGCUUGAAUCCGGGAGAGGGAUGCGGAAUUCCAGGUGUAGCGGUGAAAUGCGCAGAUAUCAGGAGGAACACCGGUGGCGAAGGCGGGUCUCUGGGCCGAUACUGACGCUGAGGAGCGAAAGCGUGGGGAGCGAACAGG
rnacentral:rRNA from 1 species